rnacentral:lncRNA from 1 species
GAAGGUGAGAGGAGAAGAAAAGAAAGAGAAAAAGAGAGGAUAAAAAGAGCGGGCACAGCUCAGCAGUGGUGCAGCACAGGUGUCGCCUGCAGGCGGCCCGGCUCCAUCCCAAGCACGGAGAGCAAACGUGGACACAGGUGACGGCAGACCCCAGAGCAGCCCAAAGCUGUUCUGUUUCUCGGUCUCUUUACUUUUGACCCAAGUCUUUGUAUUUAGUGGGUUUCUUAUGUAGAGUUUUCCCCUACCUUACCAGUACAUAGUUUGAAGCAUACCCAAGUCUUUCACAUUGAAUGGGCUCAGUGAUGAAGGGUAGUGCUUGCCAUGUUAGAAGUUGCUCUUUAGUUGUUGCCUUGGACCUUGGCUACCCCUUGGCUGACUUACGUGGUUUUUGUUUAUUUGAUGGUUUUGUUGUUUCUCACUAUAUUGUUCAGGUGGGCGUCCACGCCCUCUCAGUUCUCAGGUGUGUGGGUGCUCACUCUCAGUCCUUAGGUGGGUGCUUACUCUCAGUCCUCAAGUGGGCAUUUGCUCACUCUCAGUCCUCAGGUGGGUGCUUACUCUCAGUCCUCAGGUGGGUGCUCACUCUCAGUCCUCAAGUGGGUGUCUGUUCACUCUCAGUCCUCAGGUGGGUGUCUGCUCACUCUCAGUCCUCAAGUGGGUGCUUACUCUUGUUCCUCAAGUGAGUGCUUACUCUCAGUCCUCAAGUGGGUGCUUACUCUCAGUUCUCAGGUGGGUGCUUACUCUCAGUUCUCAGGUGGGUGCUUACUCUCAGUUCUCAGGUGGGUGCUCACUCUCAGUCCUCAGGUGGGUGCUCACUCUCAGUCCUCAGGCCUCUGCUCACUCUCACAGUCCUCUGUUCUGACUGUCUCUGGGAUUACAAACACACAUGGCCAUACUUAACCAUACUUUCUUUUAAAAAGCACUUAGUGAUUACUUUAGAGUUUAUAACUGACGCCACCACCUUAAUGAUAAUAAUAAUAAUAAUUCUCCCUCUUCCUCUUCCUCUUCCUCUUCUUCCUCCCCUACUUCCUCCCCUCCUCCUCCUCAUUAUUAUCAGGGACAUGCACAGCUUUAGGAUUGACCUGACUGGGACCAGGGAAUGACGGACACACACAUGUACAGAAAAGCUGGGAUCUGGCGGGCCCUGCGUUCUUGAUGGAGAUUCAUUAGCAGCCCAGAAACUCAGUAGUUGUUAAUAUAAGCUGAAGGAGGAUGAGGUUAGCUCAUCUCCAGAGGGUCCCUGGAGAGGAGCAGUCUUAAGCUUUAGUCCUCCUGGAGGAGGAGGAGGAGGAGGAGGGUUGGUACUUCUCUGAAAACCGUCAACAUCUGUAGUUGGAGCAGGCCUUGCCAUUCCCCUCAGCCUGACUGGUGGAAGUCUCUUCUGUUGAUUGGUUUAAUGCAUUAGGGUCUUUCACUCAUGUCACAUACGCAUGCUCAUUCUCACAGGGUACUCUCAUUGCGCACAAGUGCAUAUGCACACAUGUAUGCCCCGGUGCAUGGAUGAGAGUCAGGGUGAUCAUUUAGAGUCGGUUCUCUUCUUAGACCUUCACACAAGUUCUGCAGCGCAAACUCAGGUCAUCAGGCUCAUGUAGCAAGUGCUGUCCCUACUGCACCAUCUUGCUGGCCAUCAACUUCUGCUUUGUUUGUUUUUUGAGACAGGGUUUCUCCUUGUAGCCCUGGCUGUCCUAGAACUCACUCUGUAGACCAGGCUAGCCUUAAACUCAUAGAUUCUUCUGCUUCCCGAGUGCUGGGAUUAAAGGCACGUGUCACCACCGCCUGACUAACUUCUGCUUUAAAAUAAAUAAAUAAAAUAAAAUAAAAUAAAAUUGGGGGCUGGAGAGCUGUCUCAGUGAUUAAGAGCACUGACUGCUCUUCCAGAGGACCUGAGUUGACCAGCAACCACAUGGUGGCUCACAGCUACCUGUAAUGGAAUCUGAUUCCCUCUUCUGAAAGUAGAACACUCAUAUACAUAGAAUGCAUAAAUACAUAAAGACAAUUACAUAUGUGAUAAUGCAUAGAAUAAAAUUAAAAAGCUGUCCAUGAAUAUAGUAAGAAUAUUGUUGCUUGGUGGUAAGAUGAUAGAUAGUUCUUAGAUUUAUUUUCACUUUUAAUUUUAUGUAUGUGUGUAUAUAUAUAUAUAUAUGUAUAUAUACACACAUACAUACACGUAUAUCAUAUUAUAUAAUACAUAUUAUAUAUUGCAUAAUAAUACAUGGUAUAUUGUAUAUAAGUAUAUUAUAAUAUAUAAAAAUAUAUCUCAUAUAUAUAUAUGCAUGUGAAUGCUGAUGCCCUGGAAGACCAGAGAUGUCACAUCCCCAGGCUCUGAAGUUGCAGGUGUUGCCCAACAUGGGUGCUGGGAACUGAACCCUGUUCCUUGGCAAGAGAAAUCUCCUCUCUGAACAACCGGAGCCAUCUCUCUAGCCCUCUAGACUUCUGCUUU